rnacentral:rRNA from 1 species
AGCGGCGGACGGGUGAGUAACGCGUGGGUAACCUGCCUCAUACAGGGGGAUAACAGUUGGAAACGGCUGCUAAUACCGCAUAAGCGCACAGUACCGCAUGGUACGGUGUGAAAAACUCCGGUGGUAUAAGAUGGACCCGCGUUGGAUUAGCUAGUUGGUGAGGUAACGGCCCACCAAGGCGACGAUCCAUAGCCGACCUGAGAGGGUGACCGGCCACAUUGGGACUGAGACACGGCCCAA